AUUGAACGCUGGCGGAAUGCUUUACACAUGCAAGUCGAACGGUAGAGGGGCAACCCUUGAGAGUGGCGAACGGGUGAGUAAUGUAUCGGAACGUGCCCAGUCGUGGGGGAUAACGUAGCGAAAGUUACGCUAAUACCGCAUACGAUCUUAGGAUGAAAGCGGGGGAUCGCAAGACCUCGCGCGAUUGGAGCGGCCGAUAUCAGAUUAGGUAGUUGGUGGGGUAAAGGCUCACCAAGCCGACGAUCUGUAGCUGGUCUGAGAGGACGACCAGCCACACUGGGACUGAGACACGGCCCAGACUCCUACGGGAGGCAGCAGUGGGGAAUUUUGGACAAUGGACGCAAGUCUGAUCCAGCCAUUCCGCGUGCAGGACGAAGGCCUUCGGGUUGUAAACUGCUUUUGUACGGAACGAAAAGGCUCGGGUUAAUACCCUGGGCUCAUGACGGUACCGUAAGAAUAAGCACCGGCUAACUACGUGCCAGCAGCCGCCGCCGUAAGAC
rnacentral:rRNA from 1 species